rnacentral:piRNA from 1 species
AUGUGCCGUAUGCUUUUAUACCCCACAGA